rnacentral:rRNA from 1 species
CAGCACGAUCUUCGGAUUGGUGGCGACCGGCGCACGGGUGCGUAACGCGUAUGCAACCUACCCACAACUGGGGGAUAGCCCGGAGAAAUUCGGAUUAAUACCCCAUAAUGCAGGGGUACCGCAUGGUACUAUUUGCUAAAGAUUUAUUGGUUGUGGAUGGGCAUGCGUCUGAUUAGUUAGUUGGUGAGGUAAUGGCUCACCAAGACAUCGAUCAGUAGGGGGUCUGAGAGGAUGAUCCCCCACACUGGCACUGAGAUACGGGCCAGACUCCUACGGGAGGCAGCAGUAGGGAAUAUUGGGCAAUGGGCGAGAGCCUGACCCAGCCAUGCCGCGUGAAGGAUGAAGGCCUUCUGGGUUGUAAACUUCUUUUAUACAGGAAGAAAAAGGUCAUGCGUGACCAAUUGACGGUACUGUAUGAAUAAGCACCGGCUAACUCCGUGCCAGCAGCCGCGGUAAUACGGAGGGUGCAAGCGUUGUCCGGAUUUAUUGGGUUUAAAGGGUGCGCAGGCGGUGCGUUAAGUCAGUGGUGAAAUCCCUCAGCUCAACUGAGGAACUGCCAUUGAUACUGGCGUACUUGAGUACGGACGAGGUAGGCGGAAUUUAUGGUGUAGCGGUGAAAU